GCGCAGCAGGCGAGAAAACUUCACACUGUGCGAAAGCACGAUGAGGGAAUCCCAAGUGCUUGCACGUAAGUGUAAGCUGUUUCUCUGUUUAAAACGCAGAGAGAGUAAGGGCUGGGUAAGACGGGUGCCAGCCGCCGCGGUAAUACCUGCAGCUCAAGUGGUGACCGUUAUUAUUGGGCCUAAAACGUCCGUAGCCGGUUUAAUAAAUGCCUGGGUAAAUCGUGUAGCUUAACUAUACGAAUUCCGGGUAGACUGUUAAACUCGAGACCGGGAGAAGUUAGAGGUACUCCUGGGGUAGAGGUGAAAUUCUGUAAUCCUAGGGGGACCACCAGUGGCGAAGGCGUCUAACUAGAACGGGUCUGACGGUGAGGGACGAAGCCCUGGGGCGCAAACGGGAUUAGAUACCCGUGUAGU
rnacentral:rRNA from 1 species